rnacentral:pre_miRNA from 1 species
AAAGAGUGUAGUUCUACUGUUUAUAUAUAAUAUUUGAUCUUCUGUCUUAUUUAAAACAAAUAUAAUUGUUAUUAUUAUUAUUAUUAGAUGAUAAAAUAUGAAUAGUAUAUUAUUUGUGACUUUUUUAAAAUUAUUUCAUAAGUUUUUAAAUAAGACGGACAGUCAAACGUUGAACACGAAAACUCAUGACUACACUUAAA